UACGAAGGGGGCUAGCGUUGCUCGGAAUCACUGGGCGUAAAGCGCACGUAGGCGGCUUCUCAAGUCAGGGGUGAAAUCCUGGAGCUCAACUCCAGAACUGCCUUUGAUACUGAGGGGCUCGAGUCCGGGAGAGGUGAGCGGAACUGCGAGUGUAGAGGUGAAAUUCGUAGAUAUUCGCAAGAACACCAGUGGCGAAGGCGGCUCACUGGCCCGGGUACUGACGCUGAGGUGCGAAAGCGUGGGGAGCAAACAGG
rnacentral:rRNA from 1 species